rnacentral:rRNA from 1 species
GACGAACGCUGGCGGCGUGCUUAACACAUGCAAGGUCGAGCGGUAAGGCCCUUUCGGGGGUACACGAGCGGCGAACGGGUGAGUAACACGUGGGUGACCUGCCCUCAGCUCUGGGAUAAGCCUGGGAAACCGGGUCUAAUACCGGAUAUGACUCCAUGACGCAUGUUGUGGGGUGGAAAGCCUUGUGCGGCUGAGGAUGGGCCCGCGGCCUAUCAGCUUGUUGGUGGGGUGAUGGCCUACCAAGGCGACGACGGGUAGCCGGCCUGAGAGGGCGA